rnacentral:rRNA from 1 species
CCGACCUACGGGGGGCAGCAGCAGGGAAUUUUCGUCAAUGGGCGCAAGCCUGAACGAGCAAUGCCGCGUGAACGAGGAAGGUCUUCGGAUCGUAAAGUUCUGUUGAAGGGGAAAAAGAGCGGAGAGAGGAAAUGAACUCCGAUUGAUAUUACCCUUCGAGGAAGUCACGGCUAACUACGUGCCAGCAGCCGCGGGAAUACGUAGGUGGCGAGCGUUAUCCGGAAUGAUUGGGCGUAAAGGGUGCG